rnacentral:rRNA from 1 species
UUGCACGCUGGCGGCAGGCCUAACACAUGCAAGUCGAGCGGAUGAAGGGAGCUUGCUCCUGGAUUCAGCGGCGGACGGGUGAGUAAUGCCUAGGAAUCUGCCUGGUAGUGGGGGAUAACGUCCGGAAACGGGCGCUAAUACCGCAUACGUCCUGAGGGAGAAAGUGGGGGAUCUUCGGACCUCACGCUAUCAGAUGAGCCUAGGUCGGAUUAGCUAGUUGGUGGGGUAAAGGCCUACCAGGGCGACGAUCCGUAACUGGUCUGAGAGGAUGAUCAGUCACACUGGAACUGAGACACGGUCCAGACUCCUACGGGAGGCAGCAGUGGGGAAUAUUGGACAAUGGGCGAAAGCCUGAUCCAGCCAUGCCGCGUGUGUGAAGAAGGUCUUCGGAUUGUAAAGCACUUUAAGUUGGGAGGAAGGGCAGUAAGUUAAUACCUUGCUGUUUUGACGUUACCAACAGAAUAAGCACCGGCUAACUUCGUG